GCCCGCUCAAGAAACUUAAAGGAAGUUAGACGGGGAGGCACGUACAACGGGUGGAGCCUGCGGUUUAAGUUGGAUUCAACGCCGGAAAUCUCACCGGGGGCGACAGCAAUAUGAAGGUCAGGCUGAAGACCUUACCCGAUUAGCUGAGAGGUGGUGCAUGGCCGUCGUCAGUUCGUACUGUGAAGCAUCCUGUUAAGUCAGGCAACGAGCGAGACCCACGUCCACAGUUGCCAGCAUACCCUCCGGGGUGAUGGGUACACUGUGGAGACCGCCGCUGCUAAAGCGGAGGAAGGAGUGGGCAACGGUAGGUCAGUAUGCCCCGAAUCUCCCGGGCUACACGCGGGCUACAAUGGUUGGUACAAUGGGCAUCUACCCCGAAAGGGGAAGGAAAUCUCUUAAAGCCAAUCGUAGUUCGGAUUGAGGGCUGCAACUCGCCCUCAUGAAGCUGGAAUCCGUAGUAAUCGCGUUUCAACAGAACGCGGUGAAUACGUCCCUGCUCCUU
rnacentral:rRNA from 1 species